GAAAACUCUGCGACCUCGACUGUCGAACCUGCCGGUCUAUAAUGGCCACCGGCUCCUCCUCAUAAGACAGAUCCUUGUCCACAUGGUCAGUUCUAAAAUCUAAUACGUAGGAUGGAUUGCCGUGAUACUUCCGAAUCUCGGCCAAUAGUGAGAUUUGUAACAAGAAUACUAGUGGACUUUCUUCCACAACUAGUACUUCAUGUCACAAUCCUCAACACAUGCUAAGAAAGACA
rnacentral:lncRNA from 1 species